UUUUUUUUUUUUUUUUUUGCUACCAAAGCAUAAGUUUUUAUAAAGUAUAAAGGAAGGAAGGAAGGAAGGAAGGAAGGAAGGAAGGAAGGAAGGAAGGAAGGAAGGAAGGAAGGAAUCAUACCUAUUGUCCACUUACACUCCUUUUAUAUUUAUAAAUAUCUUGCUAUUUGACUUCAUAAACUGGAAAGAUGCCCUGGGGUACAUACAACACAAAACGAUAGGAUAAUAUAUCCCAAAGAUUCUAGUUAUCUACAAAAAUAGUAACCCUCAAAUAUAAAUAUUUAUUGAUAUGUAUAUUGAUAUACAUAUCAAUAUGAAGAUGAUAUGAAUAUCAAUGGGGAAGAUGAAUUCCUUUAGCUUCCUGGUCAUUCAAAAGAAUCUAAAUGUAAUUAUACUAAAUCAACCUGUGUCCAGACAACUGACCUCCAUCAUUACAAGAGGUCUAUUAUGUUUUCACAUUGCAGUUGAUCACAUUACCACAGGCAUUCCUCGCUUGUAUUAUAUCAUUCAGAAAAAUUGGAGAGGGACGCCUGGGUGGCUCAAGAGGUUGAGCGUCUGCUUUUGUCUCAGGGCGUGAUCUUGGGGUUCUGGGCUCAAGUCCUGCAUCAGGCUCCCUGCGAGGAGCCUGCUUCUCUCUCUGCCUGUGUCUCUGCCUCUUUCUCUCUCUCUUGAAUAAAUAAAUAAAAUCUUUUUAAAAAUUGGGGAAAAUGGGACUUUUAGGCAAAACUACCACAUAGAGCUUGGAUGUUUUUCCUGAUGCAUCCUACUCCUAAGCAAACUCAUCCUGAUAUUUCAUAAUUUCUCCCCUUCCGCCUUUCCCACCCCACUUCAACCUCUCUCUCUAGCUUCUUGUCUUUCUUCUCUCUCCUUCUUCCACUUUUCCCAUCCCCUACCUUCCUCUCUCCCUGUGCUUCUCCUUCCCCUCUUCUUCAGCUCCCUUGUAGAGAUAUCUGAAUAGGCAGGCAGCUAUUAAGUAGCUGCCAUUGAUUCAUGGAAAGAUGGUUCCCUUCAGAGAAUAAAUGGGAUACUUUCCAUCUGACCUACCUUACAUCUCUUAGUCAUAAAACUAAAGCCAUUUAACACAGAGCUUGGAUUCUCUUUUCUCUCUUUUUUUUUUUUUUUCAAUUGUCUGUUUUGUAUUCCUAUGGUAAGUGCCUGCAAGAUAUUUAGUAGGUAAAAUGACUUUCAUUUGCUAAAUUGCAUUUAAAGAACUUCAAGAAACUAUUUAUUCCAUGAAGUUUUCUAAUUAUUAUAGAGCAAGAAAACCAGUAUUCUUGUGUGUAAAGAUGUAAUACUUUAUAAAGUAUCACAGAUGUGAUACUUUAUAAGCCUACAGUGUAAUACAUAUUACAAUAUAAAUACACAUAAUGAAAUAUAUAAAAGACAUAGAAAACAAUGGCCAGCAUUCAUAAUGUAUUUGUAGAAUUCAUGAUUAUAUUUAACUCUGAGAAGUAGAUGCACCCAACUGACCAUAACACAAAACUCUCCUCUGACAUAAACAUGUAGAUAUAGGUUAGCCAAGGAAGGUAUAGCAACUUUGCUCCCCAAAAAGCCCUCACACGUGAAGGUAUCUUCUAGGUUAUGGUCUGUCAUUGCUAGUGUGCAAUCCUUGUCUUCAUGGUCCAAGAGAGCAGCUAGAUGUCAAUCCAUCACACUAAUAUGCAAGAUGCAGAAUGGACUAGCUGAGGGAUCAAAGUCUGUCCUGGUUUUAAAGCAUUUUCUUCUCUUCUCUGGUAAAUCCACUUACCAGACUUAAUGCAAUUCCUUAUUAAACUGAAAGGAUAAACUUCCCUUAAGAAUAUAUUGGCAAUACCAAAUAUCUCAAAGCAAAAUCACAUGUUCUUCAAGAUUCCAAAUGUUCUCUUGAACCUUACACCAUUUUGUCACAUUAUAUCUUGACUAUAACUCAAGAACAGACCAACCUAAUACCAAUCUUCACAUAAAAUAUCUUCAUUAUAAUCUGAAACUAUUAAUUUGCCUCUUGUUCGGCCAUAAAUGUUCUUUUUGUGAAUCAACAUCCCAACUUCUUUUAGCUGCUUUAAACUCAUUAUAUGGUCUCAUUCAUAUGGGGAAUAUAAAAAAUAGUGAAAGAGAAUAAAGGGGAAAGGAGAAAAAAAUGAGUGGGAAAUAUCAGAAAGGGAGACAGAACAUGAAAGACUCCUAACUCUGGAAAACGAACAAGGGGUGGUAGAAAGGGAGGUGGGUGGGGGGUGGGGGUGACUGGGUGACGGGCACUGAGGGGGGCACUUGAUGGGAUGAGCACUGGGUGUUAUGCUAUAUGUUGGCAAAUUGAACUCCAAUUAAAAAAAUUAAAAACAAUAAACUCACCCUCCAGAGAAAACUUUCUUGAAAGAGAAAGAAAGAAAGAAGAAAGAGAAAGAAAGAAAGAAAGAAAGAAAGAAAGAAAGAAAGAAAGAAGAAAGAAAGAAAGAAAGUUCUUAGUUCUUACUAGUUGAUCAUACCUUUCUAUGAUGCUUUGUAUUUUCUUAUUUUUAUUUUCCCUUUCUCCUGUCUGUACCAUUCUGUUAUUUAUUUUCAUUGUAGUUGGAUUUAUUAGACCAGUGUAACAAUUCCUAUAGAGAUUACCCUUUUUUUGAAGUAGAGAUACUUCAUGCUAAGUUAUCCAUAUUGGAAUUUACAUAAUUUUGUGGUUUUUGCAAAAUCUAUAUGUAGUUCUUCUGAUAUAUUUGCAAGUUACUAAGUUUUGUCUAGGACAUUGAAACACUGCAUAAUUAAUUGGACUGUUCAAAGUCAUAGCAUCUUUGAAUAAGAGAUGAAGAGUAUCCAAUUAAUACUGAUAGCCAAAUAAUGAGAUAUUAAAGACUGAAAGACACUAAUAAGAGCUCAAUGCAAAGAUACUUCCAGAAUUAUCCCAGGGUAAUGUACUGGUUACAGUAUCUACCAUUUAUCAUGAUAAAGACUGGCUAUUUUUACAUUGGUCUUUUACAUAUCCUCAAGAUCCUUUCACUACUUAAGAAAAUAGUUCAAAUUCUUGCAAUCCUAGUAGGGAAGUAAUUUUCUGCUAAAUUAAUUUGUUGGAAGUAAUCUCCCACUGACUUCCAAUGUACUCUUUGCAUGCUCCAGAAACUUUAGCUAUUUGAGGUGUUCAAAGAGUGCUCAUGGUAAUAACGGUGAUCACUCAAACCUCAUGAAGAUCUCUUGAACUUCAUGGCUUAUAGAGAGACAAAAGAAUUUUCAGCGAUGCAUCUCUCAGGUAAAGAAAAACAGGACACUGGUGGCCAUCUCAUGCAAAUUAAAGAGAAAAGAGAAAAUAACACAUUGUCACACAUAAAAGAGUUUUGGAAAAUUCAUUUGGAAAAUGAGUAAGAAUUCACAUCCCAUUUGAGUAGAUUAAGAGAAACAAAAUUCAGUAGAAGGUUUUAAAAGUCCAGUUUUAGGGGUGCCUGAGUGGCUCAGUUGGCUAAGUGACUCUUGACUUCAGCUCAGGUCAUGAUCUCCAGGUGGUGAGAUCGAACCCCAUGCUGAGCUGGACAUGGAGCCUGCUUAAGAUUCUCUCCAUCCCUCUCCCUCCGCCCUUCUGCACCCCCCGUGGUUUUCUCUCCCUCUCUAAAAAAAUAAAAGUAAGAAAUAAAAUAAAAGUCGCUUUAUUUAACCUGCAUUUUUCCUUCUUCUCAGUUUUGUAUUUUUUUUUUCUGAGUGCUGCAGUUAUUGAAAAAUCAACUGCAAGACCACAGCUGUCUCUCCUCCUGGUUUUUUAUUGCAUAUGUUAACGCUGCACAGGUAUACUGCAAUAGACUGUUACUAAGCAAUUGAGAAUCUAUACCAGGAAUAAGUCGCUAUCACACAGUAGAAAUUAUGGCAAAUGGAAUUGUUUACCACCGUAUAUAAUGUGGCAGCCAGCAAUGAUUUGGUUUUGUGCUUCUCACCUACCAAGAAGCUAAAUUUAGGGACUGUUUUUUUUUUUUUUUUUUUUCUUAGCAAGGAGCUCACUUCUGAGCUCCUGUAUAUUAAGAAUUCUUUAGAUAUUUCUUUGUAGUAUGUUGAUUUUAAGUGAAAGAGAGUGAGAAGUAAACAUUUCUCACUGGCAUGUGACAACAUGACCUAUUUAAAUGAACACAUAGGAAUGUAUGAUAUUAAGAAAUAUUCCUACAUGCAUAUGCUUGCAGUGGCUUUAAAAUCAUAGUUAAUACAGUCUCCAUAGUUUUGCCUUUUACAGAAUGUCAUAUUACUCGACUCAAACAGUAUGUGAACUCUUUUCAGACUGGCCUCUUUCACUUGGUAAUACGUCUCCAAAUUUUUCCAUGUCUUUCAAUGACUUGUGAGUUCGUUUCUUUUUUGCCUUCAUACUCCCUUGUCUGAAAGUACCACGGUUUAUUUAUCCAUUCACCUACUGGCAGAUACCUUGACU
rnacentral:lncRNA from 1 species